CGUUUGUGGCCCACAACUACAUUCAUUAGAUAUACAUAUAUCCCAUUGACAAAUGAUUUUAUAAUGUGUCCCUCUUGUGCACUCACCUGUACAUUGGCUAUGUGAUCCACAUAAUUUUGUGUGCCGUUUGCUUUUUUGUUUGCUUGACGUUUACGUGGCGGAAUAAAAACUGGGCGUUCCUUUGCCAUAUUAUUUGUGGUGGCAUCGUUGGCCAUUUCGUCGGCUACCAUUUUCCUCGUUUAGCAUAAAACCCUUAUGUCUAGUCUGUUUUUCAUAUAAAUUUAGGUAUUCUUUAAAUUGCGAAGACUUGAAUUGGUAAAUGCAUUUGAACUUAAAUUAGGACGUUUUCUUGGUUUU